CUUCAGUGAUGAUACGAUGACGAGUCGGAAUGGGACAGUCUGUCUCUGGGUACACUGGAUUGGUGUCACGUUCUGUGUCUCUGGUUUCAGUUCCUCUGAGGCAGGUCUCUUCAGUUGAAGACAUCGAGGCAUUUGUCUGAGAAGG
ensembl:snoRNA SNORD15 Small nucleolar RNA SNORD15